rnacentral:rRNA from 1 species
UACGGAGGAUCCAAGCGUUAUCCGAAUUUAUUGGGUUUAAAGGGUGCGUAGGCGGUCGUAUAAGUUAGAGGUGAAAUCCCGUGGCUCAACCACGGAACUGCCUCUGAUACUGUAUGACUAGAGAAUGGUUGCUGUGGGCGGAAUGUGUGGUGUAGCGGUGAAAUGCUUAGAGAUCACACAGAACACCGAUUGCGAAGGCAGCUCACAAAGCCAUAUCUGACGCUGAGGCACGAAAGCGUGGGGAGCAAACAGG